CUGCCCCGUGCUGCUGGAGAGGCUCUGGAGCACAGCCCGGAGCUGCUGCAUGGGGAGCUGCGUGGCGCCGCAGGCGGCAGCCGUCCACGUCCUGGGCCUCCUCCUGGACACAGUGCCGACCGCGUGGCUGCAGCAGCAGGACCUGGCGUUCCUGUCGGGAGCUUGGUGGAGGCGGCGGUCCAUCGAGGCCCCCCGCACGUGGCGGGCAGCAGCUGCAGUGCCCCACGCCGGGGGCCCCCAGCUGCUCGGGGCAGGAGAUCAAUAAAGCUGCGUCCUCGCAGGGAAAGUGC